CAAAAUACGGAAAUUACGGCCGAAGAAGAUUUGUUAGAUGACCUACUUACGCCUCAAGAGGGGCCUAUGGCCUAUCAGCUUGUUGGUGAGGUAAAAGCUCACCAAGGCAAUGACGGGUAUCGGGUGUGAGAGCAUGACCCGACUCACUGGGACUGAGACACUGCCCAGACUCCUACGGGAGGCUGCAGUCAAGAAUCUUCCUCAAUGGCCGAAAGGCUGAAGGAGCGACGCCGCGUGAUUGAUGAAGCCCUUCGGGGUGUAAAAAUCUUUUCACUAGGAAGAAACCAUGACGGUACUAGUGGAAUAAGGGGCUGCUAACUUCGUGCCAGCAGCAGCGGUAAUACGAAGGCCCCAAGCGUUAUCCGGAUUUAUUGGGCGUAAAGGGUCCGUAGGCGGUUUAUCACAUCUCCUGUUAAAUCUUUGGGCUUAACCCAGAGACCGCGGGAGAGAUGGAUAAACUAGAGACCGGAAAAGGUAAGCGGAAUUGCUGGUGUAGGGGUUAAAUCCGUUAAUAUCAGCAAGAACACCAAAUGCGAAGGCAGCUUACUGGAACGGUUCUGACGCUGAGGGACGAAAGCGUGGGUAGCGAAUGGGAUUAGAUACCCCAGUAGUCCACGCCGUAAACGAUGGAUGCUAAGCAUUGGCAGUAUCGACCCUGCCAGCGCUGUUUAUUUAAGUUAACACCUUAAGCAUCCCGCCUGGGGAGUACGGCCGCAAGGCUAAAACUCAAAGGAAUAGACGGGGACCCGCACAAGCGGUGGAGCAUGUGGUUUAAUUCGACAAUAAGCGAGGAACCUCACCAAGGUUUGACAUAUAGCUGCAAGCCCUAGAAAUAGGGUCGCCUUCGAGGGUGCUAUACAGGUGCUGCAUGGUUGUCGUCAGCUCGUGUCGUGAGAUGUACCGUUAAGUCGGGAAACGAGCGCAACCCCUAUCCUAUGUUUUAUAUGUCAUGGGAGACUGCCCGCUUUAAGUGGGAGGAAGGCGGGGAUGACGUCAAAUCAGCAUGGUCCUUACACCUUGGGCUACACACGUGCUACAAUGGAAAGUACAAAGGGACGCCAAACCGUAAGGUGGAGCAAAUCCCCCAAAACUUUUCUCAGUUCGGAUUGAGGUCUGCAACUUGACCUCAUGAAGUUGGAAUCGCUAGUAAACGCGCAUCAGCCACGGCGCGUUGAAUACGUUCUCGGGUCUUGUACUCACCGCCCGUCACGUCAAGGGAGCUGGCAAUACCCGAAUCCCGAUUACUCGGGAGAAGGUAGGGCUAGUAACAGGGACGAAGUCGUAACAAGGCAUCCGUAGCGGAAGCUGUGGAUGGAUCACCUCCUU
rnacentral:rRNA from 1 species